rnacentral:tRNA from 1 species
UUGAAAGAUAAGCUAAUAAAGCUGAUAGGUUCAUACCCUAUUUAUGAUAACUCUCUUUUAA